rnacentral:lncRNA from 1 species
GGGGUGGGAGGCUUCUAUUCUCACAGAGAGCAGCAGCACAUGCCAUCGCUGUUGCUGUUACCUAGGCUACUCACAGCACGCAGGAGAGGCAGGCUAGUGCAUUCUCAGUCACACCUUCCUUUUGAAGAGCAGCUCUGUCUUCAGACCGGCUUCCAGUGCAUCGGUACUUUCAUGACAAAGAACCUGGCACUAUGCAGGUGCAGAGCCUGGGUCCAAACACCUGGACAAAGAGUAAGCUGCCCCAGGGCCCCAGCUCAGGCUGUUAACACUGGGUUGGGGGCACAUGAGAAUUACUGAGCAGACUGGAGGCCUCGCAAAACCCAACAUCAUAACAGACUGUAGCCAUUUUGUGAUGAUUUCAGCAUGUCCCAGAAAUCCCCAUCUGCCUGAAAGCUCUCGAUGAACUGGAGAAGUUCAUAAGGAAGAAUGGGAGGGCAUCCAAAAGCAAACUACAGAUGUACCACUGUGCAAAGUGAAGAGUCAAACCUAGAGAGUUUGAGAAGAAGUGACAUUAGAAUAUGCUAAAAACCUUGCUUUGGUGGGAAUUUGUGAGGAGCCCAGCAUCCGUGCCCUCUCUGCCUGCUCCAUUUCUUACACCGAACUGGAAUGUCCAUUCAGUCACUGCAAGUCCCCUGCUCAGCACUGCUGCUUUGCAAACAGAACAUCACUGCCAGCAGCCCACCAACACUGACAAACAGUCCCGAAGUCACACACCAACAAACGCACCUGAGAUAGGGAAUGCUUUUACACACUGCUGGUAAAGAAACAUUUCAAAGCUUCCAUGAAGUUCAUGAAUACGCAAGAAAGGAAAGUGUUUGAAAAUGGAAAUGCAGAUAUUUGGCUGCUCUCUGCUUAUGGACACAGCCGUGUUUUUAAGUACACGUUUCUGAAUCAGAAAUUCUGUCCUGCUCCCAGCCAACCUGGAGGUCAGAGAAAAACAAACAGCCACUGGAACACCGUGCUGCUUCCAAUUAAUUGCUCACAACACUGCGUGUGCUGCGAGAGAUGGGCUUCCUUUCCACACAGUGCCCUGAGGUCUCAGUCACACUCCUCAGGCUCACAGCGGGUCCUUCUGCCCAGUCUCUGUUCUGUAACAUUCUUCCACGGAGGUUUUUUCCCUGGAAGUCACAAAUUGGCACCGGGUGAUGGUUUGGCUGCGAAACCGACAGACGAUCCGUUUGUUGCUGGGUUAGCAACGGCACCGCCUCACUGCCAGCAGCUACGGCCGGACCGCGUACAACACCUGCACCUCACUGCCACUGCACUGCACGGACUGCGGGGACAAAAUGCCUUCGUGGUGGGGAACGCGCUCACAUCCGGCACAAGUACAAAUGACAAAUAGCGGUCAAAGUGAAACAUGCAUGUUCUUUAUUGAGUCUCCGGCCUCUUGGUGAUACAGUUACCUUCUGUGGGAGGGACGGAGGGUCGGCAGGUGCACGCAUCCCUGCUGCCAGCCCUCCGGGAUGGGAAACAAUAAACUUCCCAACUGGGAGCCCUUCUGUACCAGAGCCGCGUGGAGAGCUCAAUCGCAGAGAGAAUCUUCAAACCUUUGUCAUUAUACACCAAUAAACGCAUCACAAAUAACAGAAACCGGAUGAGAAAUACCACUGCUUGCUGCUCCCUCUGGCUUCUAAGAUUCCGCAUCCAAACACCGAACCCUCACCAAUGCAACGUUUUAUUUUAUUUUUUUUUUUCCGCCGAUAUACCGUCAGAAAUUAAACGUAUAUUUGCAAACGCUAUUGCAAUUUUCCAAUGCAUUAUUGUCAGUCUUUUUCCCACCAGCAGCAGCCAACGUGCCAGCGGAUCGCAUUCCGUACCCCUUCUCUGGCUCUCUCUGCAGCGAUCUGCACACCUUUGCUUUGUUCCACCUCCUCCUCCUCCUCCUUCCCCCACCUCUCUCCAGCUGUCCAUCUCUGCAGCCCCGGCCAUGCACGAGUUUCCCUGCUCGCCCGCAAUCUGCCUCCUUCCUCGGCUGCGGGAGCGCGGACGGAAUCACGUCCACCCCAUCGGUACAAAGCAUGCUGUUUUACCUUCUGGAUAGUUUGCUGGGUCACCUCCCCUUUGCCUCUCGGGCGAGCAGAAGCAAAGGCAACCGACAUGGUGGGCUUUUUUUAUGUGUCUAUAAUAUAUGGGUCCCGGGCUCUAAUAAUAUUGUUAUUAUCUGCCUGCUAUUGCCGUGCGAGGAUUCUCCGCAGUGCGCGGGCAGGGGAGGUGCCGCACAUGGUACGCUCUGAGCCCGGCGCCCAGCGGCGGGCAGCGCGUCCCGGAGCGGCACACGCCGCCCUGCGCCCGGG